GGUGGUAUAGCUCAGUGGUAGAGCAUUCGACUACAAAUCGAGAGGUCCCGAUUCGAAACCGGGUGUCCUCU